rnacentral:RNase_P_RNA from 1 species
CGGUCGCUGCCCUAACCGGCAGAGGAAAGUCCGGACUCCGCAGGGCGGAGGACCCGCCUGUCAAGGGCGGGGGGCGCCGGGAAAGCCGGCGCGACGGAAAGCGCCACAGAAAUCAGACAGCGGGGUGUUCGCAUCCCGUGAUGGUGAAAAGGCGAGGCAAGAGCUCACCGGCCCGGCUGAAACGACGGGCGCACGGCAAGCCCUCCUCGGAGCAAGAUCAAAUAGGGAAUCGACGGGCUGCCCGUCCGGCGCGCGCCGCAAGGCGCGCUAAGAUUCCGGGUUGAUCGCUGAGAUGAAUGAUCGGACCCUCCUUCGCCCUGCGGGGCCCUGGAGGGGAACAGAAUCCGGCUUAUUCGCCG